CAGCGCUACCUGCGUCCUUGGUGUUGCUCAACUGGGCUUGGCUUUCACCACUGAGAAAAUUGCAGCUUCGUUCUCGUGUUGAAGCGCAAACAGAAUCUCGAGAUUACAAUCCCUUGUCGAAUAGUGAUGGAGAUAUGAUAUCUAGCACAGACCGUCUGACAGAAUUUGAUGUUUUAUCUUCUUCGUUUUACUGUGGAGCUACAAGAAAAUCUGGAGUUAUGAACAGUGCUAUUAAGUUCAUCACAACGCCAUUUGUUUGCGUAUUUUUCUGUCAUUUCUACAACGUCGUCAGUCUAGAUGAUGUUCAUGCUAACCAAAUUACUAACGGUCUUGGAAUAUAUUCUAGCUAUAUAUGGGUUAAUAUUCUUUGUAGUUUCGGAGUAUAUCUCUUGGGUUCCCUAUCUUGUAUGGUUGGUAUACAACGUCAAGCAUUUGCCUUACCUUUAUUACUUGUCACUCCAGUUUGCAUAUUUCUGUCAUCGGUACAUUGGGCGUGCGAGUCUUCCACAAUCCGCUCGUCUUGUGGUCACGUCAUCGGUAUACAUCAUUAUCAUGUGCUCAUUAUUGCUGCGAUGUUGUGGAUUGGCCUUUUAGCGUAUGUGAUUGUAUAUAUUUGGAAAAGACAGGAAGAAACGAUGGUUCCAGAAAAAGAGUUAUUCACAAUUCCUUACACUUACAACGGUAAGAAUAUUCUUCAUUCCUGUAGAUCACAUCUGCACAGGGAAGCAUUGCUGAAAAUUGCGUUACGUGCUGGUGUCUAUAGAAAUGUCAGUUUCUGGCCUCCGAAUAGAAAAAGUGACCCUUUUAAGACUUUGUUGUACCCUACGGGUAGUCGGAAU